rnacentral:rRNA from 1 species
GUGUCAGCAGCCGCGGUAAUACGGAGGGUGCGAGCGUUGUCCGGAAUCACUGGGCGUAAAGGGCGCGUAGGCGGUUGCGUAAGUCAUCUGUGAAAUCCCGGAGCUCAACUCCGGGGCUGCAGGUGAGACUGCGUGACUAGAGCACAGUAGAGGCGAGUGGAAUUCCCGGUGUAGCGGUGGAAUGCGUAGAUAUCGGGAAGAACACCGGUGGCGAAGGCGGCUCGCUGGGCUGUUGCUGACGCUGAGGCGCGAAAGCGUGGGGAGCAAACAGGAUUAGAUACCCUGGUAGUCC